AGAGUUUGAUCAUGGCUCAGGACGAACGCUGGCGGCGUGCCUAAUGCAUGCAAGUCGAGCGGGCUACGAUCUUCGGAUUGUAGCUUAGCGGCGAACGGGUGAGUAACACGUAGGUAAUCUACCCUUCAGAGGAGGACAACCUCAGGAAACUGAGGCUAAACCUUCAUACGUUCACUGGUAGGGAAACUGGUGAAGAAAGAGUUACCUUAGUGGUAGCUGCUGAAGGAUGAGCCUGCGGCCCACCAGGUAGUUGGUGAGGUAACGGCUCACCAAGCCGAAGACGGGUAACCGGUCUGAGAGGAUGUCCGGUCACACUGGGACUGAGACACGGCCCAGACUCCUAUGGGAGGCAGCAGCAGGGAAUCUUGGGCAAUGGGCGAAAGCCUGACCCAGCGACGCCGCGUGGAGGAAGAAGUCCUUCGGGGCGUAAACUCCUGGACUGGGGGACGAGUAAGGACGGUACCCCAGUAGAAAGGGACGGCUAACUACGUGCCAGCAGCCGCGGUAAAACGUAGGUCCCGAGCGUUGUUCGGAUUCACUGGGUGUAAAGGGCGCGUAGGUGGUUGUCUGUGUCUCAUGUGAAAACUCAGGGCUCAACUCUGAGAUUGCGUGGGAAACUAGGCAGCUAGAGGACGGUAGAGGGGAGUGGAAUUCCCGGUGUAGCGGUAAAAUGCGUAGAUAUCGGGAGGAACACCGGUGGCGAAGGCGGCUCUCUGGGCCGAUCCUGACGCUGAGGCGCGAAAGCUAGGGGAGCGAACCGGAUUAGAUACCCGGGUAGUCCUAGCCGUAAACGAUGGGUGCUAGGUGUUGGGGGGGUAAAGACCCUUCAGUGCCGAAGCCAACGCGAUAAGCAUCCCACCUGGGGAGUACGGCCGCAAGGUUGAAACUCAAAUGAAUUGACGG
rnacentral:rRNA from 1 species